GUAGAUACUCGUGGAUGUCAUCCACAUCAGCUUUGUUCUCACAGAAAAUCAGGACAGGAGGUGGGGUCUUCUGAAGGCACUCAAGGAGGGCACUUUUUGCAAAGUUUUGUAUCUUUUUGGGCAUGGUGGCAGAGAAGAGUAGGGUUUGUCUCUGGGCUUUGAAAUGGUCAAAAACCUCCCUGAUGUCAUCUUCAAAGCCCAAGUCAACCAACCUAUCAGCCUCAUCCAGUGUCAAAUACCUGCAAUAGGGAUCAAUAAGAGAAGGGUGAUAUAGGUACUUUCAGGAGUAGGAAAAAAAUGGAUACACGAAAAGUAGCUCUGAGAGAAAAACCCAAGCUGCUUAAAUCAAGCUUUAACAAGCUCCAAGCAUCAGAAGAUUUUUCAUGAUCAGAUUGAGUCUCUCAGUGGUUAGCAACAAUCUCUAAUGAUAUAGACAUGAUAUACCUGACUCAUCGACUUCUGACAUGAAGAUAGUAGAAAUGUAAAUACACUUCUACUUCUUAAUAUUGAACAUAUUGUCAUAUUCAUCACAUAAAACAUAUAAAAUGAGAAUGGUUCUGCAAAUUAUGCCUUUUAACACACCAA